GUUUCGGAGUGGGUUGUAUCGAUAUCGUACUGUUCGAUCAGACUAACUAACUAAGUUUAAUUAACUGCAGUGAUUUCAACUAAUAUUUAAUUGGUAAGUGCGUAUUGGACGGCAAAGGACAAGGUUUAGAAAUGGAAACUUACUUUUUAAAAAUUCUAAGGCGAACUUUUGUAUAUUACCGUAUGCUUGAUGAAAAAUGGAGCCGAUGAAAACCCCAAAAGAUCUGGAAGCUGAAAGCGCUAUUGCUGCAAUGAAUGGACAAUGGUUGGGUAGCCGCAGCAUCCGUACAAACUGGGCAACAAGGAAACCCCCAGCGCCAAAAAAUGAAGUCAAUUCGAAGCCACUAACAUUUGAUGAAGUUUACAACCAAAGCAGCCCGACUAACUGCACCGUUUACUGCGGAGGUAUUACCAACGGAUUAACAGAAGAGCUUAUGCAAAAAACGUUCGCCCCUUUCGGUUCAAUUCAAGAAAUUCGGGUUUUCAAAGAAAAAGGAUACGCAUUCAUACGAUUCUCCACUAAAGAAUCUGCUACACACGCCAUAGUUGCAGUUCAUAAUACAGACAUUAAUGGACAAGUUGUGAAAUGCUCUUGGGGGAAGGAAUCGGGUGAUCCAAACAAUGCCCCGGUUGCCGGGCAGCCUUUAACCAGUACACAGUACCCUUACGGGGCAUAUGGUCAACAAUUAGGUUAUUGGUAUCCGCAAAGUUAUCCAACCGCUGCAGCCGCAGCACAAAUUCAAGGUCAAUAUAUACAAGGAAUUCAAGGUUACGGGUACGGACAAUACGGUGGAUAUCAGCAGCCCUACAUGGGGCUUGGAGUGCAAGUUCCGACAACUUGGCAAGGAAUUCCCGGUCAGCCGCAAUUGCCAACAACACCGCAACAAAUCGCGGCACCUGGAGCGACGUUACAACAACCUGGUUUGGUGUUCCCCAUACAACAGUUUCAAGUAAUUUCACAACAGUAAUUGUAGCACGUUAUUUGCCUUGCCGUGCCUAAGCGAGUGAACGGCGGUCGCGAAUGUGAAUCUAAAUGCACGUUAGAUUAGAUACUCAUCAUGUACAUAAAUCAAUUUUUAGAAAGGAAGAACUGCUAUGGUCUCGGUUUUAUAUAAACAGCACGAUGCAUGAGUUUGUGUAGAGAGCUUAACUCGAUCGGAAUCAGGCUCAAUGAAACACAAACAUUUGUCACCAAGUCGACGUAGUGAUAUUUUAAUAUUAUUCAAGAUAUCUUAUCGUUGUUUAUCGCGGAUUUUUAAAUGUUCGUGCCAAAUUUCCAGUUUGUUCGACGUGUCUAACAGUCCUACAUAGAGAGGUCCAUCCAUUUUAGUUAAAUGGCAGAGGGCAUCGCAUCCAAUGUUAGUUAGGUCAAUAGUUUAUGUUGUGAAUGGGUGUGGGCGGAUGGGGAAAUUGCACUGCACGUGGCUAGUUUUUAGCCCAAUUGAGCGCCAUAGCUACAUUGCUCACGCUCAUGACACCUUAAUUCACAAAUUUAUGCAUGAAUGCGUGAGUCCUGCUGAUGUGUCCAUCUGUUUGGCAGUUGGCGGACGAGGAAUGGCUUACGCCCAGUCUCUUAGUUUGAUGGUAAUGUGUGUAUCCGGCUGAAUGUCACGCAUAUUUAAGACAGAUGCAAAAGAGAAGAACUGUACCUAUCCACCAAGGUUUAUGUCAUUCAGUCGCUUACUGUCUAACUAAACAAUCACUAUCUACCUUAAAAGUUUGUUUGACAUUGUUUUUUGUGUACUCAGUCCGUAGUGUUUAGUCAAUAAAAACUCUUGUUAGAUUGUAAGUUGACUUAUAUUUGUAUAAAAUGUUUCAAGAGCUUGUUAUCUUUAUUUAAUAUUUGUACAAACAGAGGUAAGUUACGUAUAAUAAGCUAGAUAGAUAACUAGGCAAUGCAGUUGACUUAAAAGUCGAACUAGUUAUAAUUGGACGACGGCCAGUGGCGGUUGCUGGAGAUAAUAUAUAACUGUAUGUGGAGUAUUACAAAGGGGGUAAUUCAUUUUCACACGUUUCUAGUUGUAUACCUUUCAUAGGUCCCAAUCAGCCCUUUUCGCCAUCACUGGCAAGCCGUAUCAUCUAUACAUACUGUAAUAUUACUGUACAUACAGAUAGAUAUCGCAAUAUCAUGCGAUAUCUGUAGGGUUAAAAUGUGCAUAGCCGGAUCGGACUUGUCUGGUCGGCACAUCGUAUUCGUAACUUAGAUUAUUCUAUGCGAUUCAAAAAUAUAUGAUUAGCCUAACGUGAUAUCGCGAAAAAUCCGACUUUUAUAUAAUAUACUCUUGUAAGAGAAGGAAAGUUUUGAUACAAGAUUUAAAAAGUAUACCGAAGAUAAUAGCUAGAGUAGAUAUGACGACGAGUAUUAUUUAGCCCUUGUUUAACGGUGGCAAAUGGCAUCAUUUAUACAUAAUAUACAUAUAUAAAGUUAUAAAUAACUGUAUGUGCGUUAUUGACAGUAUAUACCCAAUUUGCACGCUAAACUGUAGAAGCACCUCAUAUGUAAACGGCUGUAUUAGUGUCAUAAAUGUAAAAGACCAUUCGCCCUGUCCUUAAAAUGGUUGUACAAAUAUCACUUAAAUAUGGUAUUUAUUAUCAUCUAGCACCGGCGUUAUAGCAAACCAUUCUGACCAUGAUAUAGGAAAUGCUUAAGGUGAUAGUCAAUUAAAUCAAUGCGACUUUUCGUCGUAUUGAAUGGCCGCGAAACUAUGGCCAAUAAGCAACUGGAGGCUCAAACGUUACAAAGAUAGCCUAGUCGAUGAUCAAAUUACAUUGUCCUACGUCGCCUGUUUAACUCUUGGCGAAUGGAAAGUAUUUUAUUCAACCAGUACAUCCUGCAUUGUAACGUUUUUCUUAUCGCAAAAGUUCACUCAAUUACGUGAGGCCACACAAAAUAAAAAAAAACGACCCGUUUCUAAAUCAGUACAUCCACCCACGCCAAGCUCAAUAGAACGCCCCACAAGAAUAUUAAUUAAGAUGACUCUUUCGGUUUAAACAUCUAAGGGUACCUACAUUGUGUUACAAUUAACAUUUAAAUUCCUGUGACGCAAAUGCUCUAUUUUGUCCUCUCAGUUUUACAACACACAAAAUGAUGCUAUGCGAUGGAAGGUUUAAAUGAAUUGAGACAAUCAAUAAAUUUUCUUUUAGAGAAAUUAGAACUUAUAUAGUAGCUCACUCUUCCAUCGACAUACCUAAUCGUUGUUUCUGUUUCUAGAGCAUUGUAGCUUAUACAUUUUUGUUAUAGACACUUUCUAAUGCGCCAUUCUAUUUACAGGCUAUUUAGAUUACCAAAAUUGCAUUUUCCAUUAAAUAUUCAAUUGUGGAUUGGUCACGUGUUUUUUUCGCAUAGGGUUGUUUUGAAUUCGAAGACUGGUCAAGAAUACAAAAACGGUGAGAAGUUGAAAAAUGCACAAUCACAUUUUACACGCACGACACUUUGGCGUUUUUAAAAGAAACCUGCCCUAUUUGCAGGUACUUUCCAUACACUGAGGUCAUUCACAAACAAAAAUCAAUCGUACGGGUCUCAGCACGAUUACUAGACAACACAUACUCUUGAGGUUUUAUGGUGUACUUGGUGUGAUUUUGUUCAUUCUUUUAAAAAUCCCUCCGAGCUACCUUUCUGCGGAUACCGGCGGUCUAGACACACAAUUUAGAUUUGCUGCAACCCGACGUUAACAAAUUUGUCCUAGGAAUGCUUUGCGAUUUGGAGUACGAGUACUGAUAGCUAGUAUGCGAAAUUCACCUAAAAUUCGAUUUGUUGCUUUGUUAAUUAAUUCGAUUAUUUUUUAUGUUAACGUUUUCGUGGUCUUUCUCGUCUGGGUUUGCAUUAGGGGAUGAAAUUCAUGUGUGUCUACAAUAAACGAAUAGGGCAAAUAGAUAGAAAUGUAUUGGUUGAAUAAAAGCUGCGUUUUGACUCUAGUUGUAAAAAGAAUCGAAAGUUACCAACGUUUAUGUCGAUAGGUAGUUAAGAGAUUUGUUGUUUUACGCUAUAACUUGCAGUACCUAAUGUUAAUAUAAUAAUUUUGUAGUUCUUAAGUAUAAGUUGUUAGUUAUUAUAUAUAAGUUGUUAGAAGCAAUCAUCGAUUUAUUUAUUUUUCACGUAUGUUACAUACUGAUACCAUUGUUUAUUCUAAAUGAAUAAGCAAUGCUGAUACUUUGUAUGGGCCAAAUAUUUUCUGUCUCUGUAUGACAGGAUUAUAUUUAUCUAGGAGAUAGUGGUUGCAUAUGUGCAGAAUAAAUCUAAACGUAUAAGUUUGUGUACUUAAAUCUGUUAUUUUCUUAAAUAUAAUAUAGUUGUAUUGAUUUAAGUGUGUUGAAAGAAUGAAACUAAUCAAAAAGUUAUGAGUUGUAUAUUAUUAUAGUCGUUACUCUCAGAAAGGUCAGUUGACAAAGUUACAGCAGGUAGAAGACGGCCAUACUUGCAUGUUGACCACACAUUUGCAUUUAAUAGAUAGUGUUUUAAGCCCGGACUCGUUUUAAUCCAAUCCAGAUGUCUACAAUAUUAGAUAUGAGUCUAGGUCAACUCGGUCUGGCUAUUAUAGCUUAUUAAAAUGUAGCUUUGUUCCUGACUGAUGAAGUAACAAACACCUGUAUAAAGUGUUUAUAUCACAGGCUGUAACGCAUAGGAAGGAUGGCGUGAUCACACGCCGAGAGAUAUUAUACAAGAUAAAAACAGAUCUAGAUUAUUAUAUUGUAGGAAAUGGAAUUGAAAUAAAGAGAGUUACAAUGAA